rnacentral:rRNA from 1 species
AACGAACGCUGGCGGCAGGCUUAACACAUGCAAGUCGAACGGAUCCUUCGGGAUUAGUGGCAGACGGGUGAGUAACGCGUGGGAACGUACCCUUUGCUACGGAAUAACUCAGGGAAACUUGAGCUAAUACCGUAUGUGCCCUACGGGGGAAAGAUUUAUCGGCAAAGGAUCGGCCCGCGUUGGAUUAGCUAGUUGGUGGGUAAUGGCCUACCAAGGCGACGAUCCAUAGCUGGUCUGAGAGGAUGAUCAGCCACACUGGGACUGAGACACGGCCCAGACUCCUACGGGAGGCAGCAGUGGGGAAUAUUGGACAAUGGGCGCAAGCCUGAUCCAGCCAUGCCGCGUGAGUGAUGAAGGUCUUAGGAUUGUAAAGCUCUUUCACCGGUGAAGAUAAUGACGGUAGCCGGAGAAGAAGCCCCGGCUAACUUCGUG